UACGUAGGGUGCAAGCGUUAAUCGGAAUUACUGGGCGUAAAGCGUGCGCAGGCGGUUUUGUAAGUCUGUCGUGAAAUCCCUGGGCUCAACCUAGGAAUUGCGAUGGAGACUGCAAGGCUAGAAUCUGGCAGAGGGGGGUAGAAUUCCACGUGUAGCAGUGAAAUGCGUAGAGAUGUGGAGGAACACCGAUGGCGAAGGCA
rnacentral:rRNA from 1 species